GCCAGUGUGGUAUAGUGGUUUGAGCAUUGGACUAUGACUCUGGAGACCAGGGUUCAAAUCCCUUGCUUGACC